GGGGGUAGCUAAUGAAAAUGGUGAAGAUGGGUUCCAUGGAGCCAGAGACUUUGAAGUGGUGAUAGUGGGAGUGAAAAGACCUGCUUGAGUUGCCAUGGGGAUGCUGAUUAUGGGUGUUAUCGAGGUGCAGUUGGGGUAUUGAUGUUUAUGGGGAGAGCUUGGAUUGAUGAAAGAAAAGAGGAUGAGAUGUUGACGGGGGUGGUAGAGUUUUGGAUUUAGAUCUUCGGAUAAGAUGAUGAUAUUAGUUGGACCAAUAGGAUACUGGAUUUUGAUGCUUCCC
rnacentral:lncRNA from 1 species